CGUCACUGCUGCAGCAGAAGUGCUGGGUGUUGGGAAAAAGUUCAAUACAUAGUCAGCCUCUCAUCAUAAGAAACAAUCCAAAGAUCCAAGGCUUGCUUCAAACUUAAGAGACCAUUCUGUGCCACGAAGAAAUUGUUCAGGAAGGGGAGAACUGGUGGAUUUGCAUUUUUGGUACAGUUCAAAGAGAUUUUCAAAAUGGUCAUGGAAGAUCAGAGGGAUGAAAACUGAAAAUAUUGAAAGAUACAAAAUGAAAAGGAACCAAGAACCUAGAAAUAUAUAGAAUAAUGAAAUGGAAAGGAUGUACACAAUCUUGUCUGAAUUUGACCUGUAAAGAUUUCCCAUUCUUAAAUGUAUGCUGGAAUAUCAAAUAACUUGAUUUUUUGUAAAUUAAGAAUAGAGAAUACACAUGACAAAUGUUUUUGCUGAUGUUUCAAUUUUGCUGUGAACACUUUCAUGUCAUAUCGUAUUUUUAUACAAGUAC